rnacentral:tRNA from 1 species
GCUAUGAAAGCUCAAUAGUAGCGUUGGUCUUGUAAACCGAAAGGUAGAAUUAUAAAUUCUUCAUAGCU